AGUGAACGCUGGCGGCAGGCCUAACACAUGCAAGUCGAACGGCAGCACAGUAAGAGCUUGCUCUUACGGGUGGCGAGUGGCGGACGGGUGAGGAAUACAUCGGAAUCUACUUUUUCGUGGGGGAUAACGUAGGGAAACUUACGCUAAUACCGCAUACGACCUACGGGUGAAAGCAGGGGAUCUUCGGACCUUGCGCGAUUGAAUGAGCCGAUGUCGGAUUAGCUAGUUGGCGGGGUAAAGGCCCACCAAGGCGACGAUCCGUAGCUGGUCUGAGAGGAUGAUCAGCCACACUGGAACUGAGACACGGUCCAGACUCCUACGGGAGGCAGCAGUGGGGAAUAUUGGACAAUGGGCGCAGGCCUGAUCCAGCCAUACCGCGUGGGUGAAGAAGGCCUUCGGGUUGUAAAGCCCUUUUGUUGGGAAAGAAAAGCAGCAGGUUAAUACCCCGCUGUUCUGACGGUACCCAAAGAAUAAGCACCGGCUAACUUCGUG
rnacentral:rRNA from 1 species